rnacentral:lncRNA from 1 species
GUUUUAUUGUAUAGGCACAUGAAAAAUAACAAUGCUUAGGCUAAGUUAAAAACAUCUUCUCACUAGAUAAUUCAACAGAUAAUUUCUGGAAACAAAUUUAAGAUUAUUAGUCUAUCCAAAUAAUAAAUAUAAAGCAUUCUUAUUAUGGGUGUUCUUAAAAUGAUGUAACUAUAAAUUUAAUGCAGACAGGUUUUAUAAUGCUAGUUUUAAGCAACUUUAAAAGACAGUUUUAAGUCACCACCAGGCUUUGUUUUUAGAAAACAACUUUUAAAUUGUGUAGCAUAUAAAAAAGCCAAUGUAUUCUUUUGUUUCUUGUAACAGUGAUGGCAAAAUAAGACUUGCCUGAAAAACCAUAAAGCUACUGGGAAUAUGGUCCCAUUAAUAAGCUGUUUCCAUGACAAACCCUAUUUUCAAAUUAUUUGGUUUGCCUAUUUUAUUUUUUUAAGCCAGCUAUCAAUUGGAGUCAAUUUUCCCCCUUACAGUGUGUGUGCUUGGUUCAGAUUUGUAGUAAAUCUAUGCAUAGUAUGAAAGCUUU